UGCAAGUCGAGCGCACCUUCGGGUGAGCGGCGGACGGGUUAGUAACGCGUGGGAACAUACCCUUUGGUACGGAAUAGCCUCUGGAAACGGAGAGUAAUACCGUAUGAGCCCUUCGGGGGAAAGAUUUAUCGCCAAAGGAUUGGCCCGCGUUAGAUUAGGUAGUUGGUGGGGUAAUGGCCUACCAAGCCUACGAUCUAUAGCUGGUUUUAGAGGAUGAUCAGCAACACUGGGACUGAGACACGGCCCAGACUCCUACGGGAGGCAGCAGUGGGGAAUCUUGGACAAUGGGGGCAACCCUGAUCCAGCCAUGCCGCGUGAGUGAUGAAGGCCUUAGGGUCGUAAAGCUCUUUCGCCUGUGAAGAUAAUGACGGUAGCAGGUAAAGAAACCCCGGCUAACUCCGUGCCAGCAGCCGCGGUAAUACGGAGGGGGUUAGCGUUGUUCGGAAUUACUGGGCGUAAAGCGCACGUAGGCGGACUGGAAAGUUGGGGGUGAAAUCCCAGGGCUCAACCCUGGAACUGCCUCCAAAACUAUCAGUCUAGAGUUCGAGAGAGGUGAGUGGAAUUCCGAGUGUAGAGGUGAAAUUCGUAGAUAUUCGGAGGAACACCAGUGGCGAAGGCGGCUCACUGGCUCGAUACUGACGCUGAGGUGCGAAAGUGUGGGGAGCAAACAGGAUUAGAUACCCUGGUAGUCCACACCGUAAAC
rnacentral:rRNA from 1 species